rnacentral:rRNA from 1 species
CCCUUAGACGUUCUGGGCCGCACGCGCGCUACACUGACCAGUGCACCAAGCAUCCGUCCUUGGCCGACAGGCCCGGGCAAUCUUUGAACGCUGGUCGUGAUGGGGAUAGACUUUUGCAAUUUUUGGUCUUCAACGAGGAAUUCCUAGUAAACGCAAGUCAUCAACUUGCAUUGAUUACGUCCCUGCCCUUUGUACACACCGCCCGUCGCACCUACCGAUUGAAUGGUCCGGUGAAGCCUCCGGAUUGGCGCGCACCUCGGUGCCGCCGAGAAGUUGGCUAAACCUUACCAUUUAGAGGAAGGUGAAGUCGUAACA